rnacentral:rRNA from 1 species
CCCUUAGAUGUCCCGGGCCGCACGCGCGCUACACUGACAUGUUCAACAAGCCUCCUAGUUCGACAGGAUUUGGGAAAUCUUUGAACGCAUGUCGUGAUAGGGAUAGAUCAUUGCAAUUAUUGAUCUUGAACGAGGAAUUCCUAGUAAACGCGAGUCAUCAGCUCGCAUUGAUUACGUCCCUGCCCUUUGUACACACCGCCCGUCGCACCUACCGAUUGAAUGUUUCGGUGAAGAUUCCGGAUAGGACUUUUUUGAUUUAUUUCAAUUUUGUCUUAAAAGCUAUCUAAACCUCAACAUUUAGAGGAAGGUGAAGUCGUAACA